AAGAAGAAACCUAACACUUUUCCUCCGGUGUG
rnacentral:antisense_RNA from 1 species